UUCACAAAUGUGAGAUCUCUGGC
rnacentral:piRNA from 1 species